rnacentral:rRNA from 1 species
UACAGAGGUCUCAACCGUUGUUCGGAUUCAUUGGGCGUAAAGGGUGCGUAGGCGGUCGUGCAAGUCGGAUGUGAAAUCUCAGGGCUCAACCCUGAACUGCAUUCGAUACUGCGUGGCUAGAGUGCUGGAGAGGAGACUGGAAUUUACGGUGUAGCAGUGAAAUGCGUAGAUAUCGUAAGGAAGACCAGUGGCGAAGGCGAGUCUCUGGACAGCAACUGACGCUGGAGGCACG